rnacentral:tRNA from 1 species
GCUACCGCGGCGUAGUGGUUUGAGUGUUGGACUAUGACUCUGGAGACCAGGGUUCAAUUCCCUGCUCAGCC